UCAUCAUACGUUUUUUCCCGUAGCAUUUGCUCAUUUCAGGUCUCUGUCACAUUUGGUAGUCCUCACAAUAUUUCAAAUUUUCUUCUUCUUCUUAUUUUUGUUAGGUGACCUGUGACCAAUGAUUACAACUCACCGAAAGCUCAGUCUGGAACCAAACCCACGGUAUCUCUGAGGUCUGUCUGUACACAGAUGUGAUUUGUGAUAAUAACACCGCAGAGGACAGGGAGGGAAAGGCACUGUAGGACAACAAGAUCUUUGCGUGCUACGGAAAGUAAAUCGGUAUUAAUCUGAGCUAGCUUCUUAUGUGUUAAGAGGAACCAGAUAUCCUUUCAGGAACCAUGGAGGCAGCAAAGAACAAGCCGAAGUCUCCCCCUCAUGGAGCUUUUGUUCUGUUGGGAAAAGAGCCUGUUUUCUGGAUCUAGCAUCAACCAGUGCCAUUAAGAACAUCAUGCUUCCAUGAUCAAAAGCGAAACAAUCACCAACUCCUGAACCGCAGCCAGAAUGAUGAAGUAGAUCCAGAUGUCACAGAUCUGAAGCCAAAUGUUUACGUCACAUCUUAAAAACAAUCGGUAUUGAGUCCCGUGAAGCUAUGGAGCCAUACAUCAGGUACUUUUGUGUAUCAAGGAAACAGAGGGUGAUGCUGGCUUUAUAUAGAAAGGUAAUGAAAUAAAUGUCCACAACGUAACUGAAUUUAUGUUGACUCUCUCCCAAAGCCUAACGUUUUCAGUCCAUUGAGGCCAAUUUUUCCAGAACCUACCCUCUCCCCUGGCAUAAAGGUUUCAGUUGAAUCUGCAAUGAUUGAGUGGCAAAAUAAUAUUUGUUUUGAAAAAAGAAUAUACCAUUGAAACUAAGUUUGUGUUAAU